rnacentral:tRNA from 1 species
GCAAAUUCCGUCAGUGGCGGUGUAGGCGAUAAAACUCGAAAUCAAUUUGGCAGCAAUGCCACGUGGGUUCGAAUCCCACCGUCUGCGCCA